UGAUUGGUUGUUGUCAUAGUAACACGUCACGGUGCUAUUUGAAAGCUGUUGUUGUUCAGUUCAGUUCACGAGGUGCAUGCGGUUGCUUGCAUUAAACGUAUAAACUGUUAAAUUAGAUGGCGACUCUGCAUUAAACGUAUUUAUUUAAUUAAUCGGCGAUCAUGUUUCACCAGAGGACUUAGAUAAAACAACUCGAUUUAAAAUGUGAGCAGUUUUAGUGCAUCUGACGUCGCUUUUUGUUUGGAGAUGAACGAGACAACACGAGGCACAGCGACAUAAAUAUGCCCAACCAGAGCCAAGUAGACAGGAACAAAUGAAGAUACAGCGCAUAGAAAUACUUAUUAUUGGUGAUCAACUGCUAUUGACAUUUUUGAAUCGGGACAAAUGUGGAGUGAUUCAGAAGAAAAACGUUUGCAACACAUCCAUUCCAGAGUGCUGUGACAGAUAAAACUGACACGGUUGAUGAGGACACAGUCAAAGCUUUAAAAGACCGUGCGAUAAAGCGGUCUUCAAUUACUAAGGUGUCUGAAUUGCAAGAAGAAGUGACCCUCCACUUAAACAUGUGACAUCUAAACUGUUUUGUGUUUUGGUUCAGCUUUUUAUAGGUUUAUCUUAAGUUGGUUAAAGGCGGAGUGCACAAUUUUUGAAAGCCAAUGUUAACAUUUGAAAUUACCUAAACAAAUAAGCCUCUACUCCAAUAGAAUCUGGACCUUCUUUUGAUAGACCCACCACACACAUACGCAACCCCGGCAAGGAUGUCGGUUAGUAGACACGCCCCUUACUGCUGGUUGGCUACAAGUGUGUUUUGGUAGUCGCCCCAUUUCCUUUUCCAAAGUGUUUUUCAAACAUUGUGCACUCUGCCUUUAAAUUGCACUUAAACAUUUUUUUUUCAGUAACUUUUUAAGCAGAGAAUUACAUUAUGAUUAUUAUAUAAUCAUUGCUUAUGCCUAUUUAGUGAUUGCAUAUUCAUAGUGUACUUUUCAUUAAUACAUUUAAUGUUAAUGUUGUACAAUUUGAUAGAAGUAGCUCUGUAAUUGCAUUUCUCUGAUAUUUGUUUUAUAUUGUUUCUCUUUGGUCAAUAGAUUAUGUAUGUCUCUGUGCUUGAUUAAUUUACUUUAGAUAUUUUUGUAAUGUACACAACACAAUAUGAAGUAUAUUAAAUUGUUCUGUAUUCAAAA